UACAGAGGUCCCGAGCGUUGUUCGGAUUCACUGGGCGUAAAGGGUGCGUAGGUGGUGAGGUAAGUCGGAUGUGAAAUCUCCAGGCUCAACCUGGAAACUGCAUUGGAAACUACCUUGCUGGAGGAUUUGAGGGGGGAUUGGAAUACUUGGUGUAGCAGUGAAAUGCGUAGAUAUCAAGUGGAACACCAGUGGCGAAGGCGAAUCCCUGGAAAAAAUACCUGACACUGAGGCACGAAAGCUAGGGGGGAGCAAACAGG
rnacentral:rRNA from 1 species